UACGUAGGGAGCAAGCGUUGUCCGGAAUCAUUGGGCGUAAAGCGCGUGUAGGCGGUUACAUAAGUCUGUUGUGAAAGUCGGGGGCUCAACCCUCGAAUGCCGGUGGAUACUGUCGGGCUAGAGUACGGAAGAGGCGAGUGGAAUUCCUGGUGUAGCGGUGAAAUGCGCAGAUAUCAGGAGGAACACCCAUUGCGAAGGCAGCUCGCUGGGACGUUACUGACGCUGAGACGCGAAAGCGUGGGGAGCAAACAGG
rnacentral:rRNA from 1 species